rnacentral:rRNA from 1 species
UGCAGUCGAACGGCAGCACAGUAAGAGCUUGCUCUUAUGGGUGGCGAGUGGCGGACGGGUGAGGAAUACAUCGGAAUCUACCUUUUGGUGGGGGAUAACGUAGGGAAACUUACGCUAAUACCGCAUACGCCCUUCGGGGGAAAGCCGGGGACCUUCGGGCCUGGCGCUGAUAGAUGAGCCGAUGUCGGAUUAGCUAGUUGGUGAGGUAAUGGCUCACCAAGGCGACGAUCCGUAGCUGGUCUGAGAGGAUGAUCAGCCACACUGGAACUGAGACACGGUCCAGACUCCUACGGGAGGCAGCAGUGGGGAAUAUUGGACAAUGGGCGCAAGCCUGAUCCAGCCAUACCGCGUGGGUGAAGAAGGCCUUCGGGUUGUAAAGCCCUUUUGUUGGGAAAGAAAAGCAUCCGGUUAAUACCCGGUUGUUCUGACGGUACCCAAAGAAUAAGCACCGGCUAACUUCGUGCCAGCAGCCGCGGUAAUACGAAGGGUGCAAGCGUUACUCGGAAUUACUGGGCGUAAAGCGUGCGUAGGUGGUGGUUUAAGUCCGUUGUGAAAGCCCUGGGCUCAACCUGGGAAUUGCAGUGGAUACUGGAUCACUAGAGUGUGGUAGAGGAUAGUGGAAUUUCCGGUGUAG